rnacentral:rRNA from 1 species
UCGAGAAUCUUCGGCAAUGGGCGAAAGCCUGACCGAGCGACGCCGCGUGCGGGAUGAAGGCCCUCGGGUUGUAAACCGCUGUCGUAGGGGAGGAAGGCUUCGUGAAGAACGAGGUUUGACCUAUCCUAGGAGGAAGUACGGGCUAAGUUCGUGCCAGCAGCCGCGGUAAUACGAACCGUACAAACGUUAUUCGGAAUCACUGGGCUUAAAGGGUGCGUAGGCGGCCAUGUAAGUGGGGUGUGAAAUCCCUCGGCUCAACCGAGGAACUGCGCUCCAUACUGCAUGGCUUGAGGGAGACAGGGGUAAGCGGAACUGAUGGUGGAGCGGUGAAAUGCGUUGAUAUCAUCAGGAACACCGGUGGCGAAAGCGGCUUACUGGGUCUCUUCUGACGCUGAGGUACGAAAGCUAGGGGAGCGAACGG